rnacentral:rRNA from 1 species
AACGAACGCUGGCGGCAUGCCUAACACAUGCAAGUCGAACGAAGUCUUCGGACUUAGUGGCGCACGGGUGCGUAACGCGUGGGAAUCUGCCCUUGGGUGCGGAAUAACUUCUCGAAAGGGAUGCUAAUACCGCAUAAUGUCGUAAGACCAAAGAUUUAUCGCCCAAGGAUGAGCCCGCGUAAGAUUAGCUAGUUGGUGGGGUAAAAGCCUACCAAGGCGACGAUCUUUAGCUGGUCUGAGAGGAUGAUCAGCCACACUGGGACUGAGACACGGCUCAGACUCCUACGGGAGGCAGCAGUGGGGAAUAUUGGACAAUGGGCGAAAGCCUGAUCCAGCAAUGCCGCGUGGGUGAUGAAGGCCCUAGGGUUGUAAAGCUCUUUUACCAGGGAUGAUAAUGACAGUACCUGGAGAAUAAGCCCCGGCUAACUCCGUGCCAGCAGCCGCGGUAAU